rnacentral:rRNA from 1 species
AGUAGUUUGACGUCCGUGGCUACGAGGACGACGCUGGCGGCGUGCUUAACACAUGCAAGUGGAGCGACGAACCAGGCUUCGGCCUGGGGCAGAGCCGCGAACGGGUGAGUAACACGUGGGUAACCUACCCCGAUGACCGGGACAACCCGAGGAAACUCGGGCUAAUACCGGAUGUCCUCGCCUCUCGUAAGGGAAUCGAGAAAAGAUAGCUUCGGCCUUCGCAUCGGGACGGGCCCGCGGCCCAUUAGCUUGUUGGUGGGGUAACGGCCUACCAAGGCGACGAUGGGUAGCUGGUCUGAGAGGACGAUCAGCCACACUGGGACUGAGACACGGCCCAGACUCCUACGGGAGGCAGCAGUGGGGAAUCUUGCGCAAUGCGCGAAAGCGUGACGCAGCAACGCCGCGUGGGGAAGAAGGCCUUCGGGUUGUAAACCCCUUUCAGUUGGGACGAAGCUUCGCCGGUUAAUAGCCGGCUGGAGUGACGGUACCUUCAGAAGAAGCCCCGGCUAACUACGUG